rnacentral:rRNA from 1 species
GGAAGCCACGGCUAACUACGUGCCAGCAGCCGCGGUAAUACGUAGGUGAUGAGCGUUAUCCGGAUUUACUGGGCGUAAAGGAUGCGUAGGUGGAAUUUUAAGUGGGAUGUGAAAUACCCGGGCUCAACCUGGGAACUGCAUUCCAAACUGGAAUUCUAGAGUGCAGGAGAGGAAAGCGGAAUUCCUAGUGUAGCGGUGAA